GGCUACACAGUGAGCUCAAGGCCAAACUGCAUAGAGUUCAAAAAGACCAAAAAGAAAAAGGCCACGCUUUGGUUUUGGCGAUGUGGGGCAAGCAUUGAGAAAGGGGUGAGAUGGAGACUCUGGGGCUCAUCAGCAUGUCCCUGGUGGUCUCCAGCACCUCCAACACGUGGGUCCCACGGCAGAGGACAGGCACAGGGUGUGUGGGCCUGGCUGCGGCCUGCUGGCCUGAGGGAGGGAGUGGGCGGAGCAGGCCUCUUUCGGGGUUAGCUGCGCCCGGCAGCUCAAGAGGAGGCAGAAGGGAGUCAGAGCCAGAGCCUGAAGACGCGGGGGUGGGGUGGGGCAGCUGAGCUGAAGACCGGAAGGAGCCCGAGCCAAGGAACCAGGGUGGGCAGAGACAACGCGAGCGGAGUCCCUGCCAUCCAGGGCCCUGGCUGCAGCUCCCUGGCUCCCACCCAGUCAGGUCCAGAACUGCAAUAUAAACAAACUUUUUUUUUUGUACAGCCAUUAAGUUUGUGGUAAUCUGUUACAGCUGCCAUAGGAAAUUAGUGUAGAGGUGACCUGCAAUAAGCCAGGCCCUGGGUGGCGAAGGUCUUGGACAGGGUACUGAGCCCUGGGAGAAAGCGGGGACUGAGCCCUGGGAGACCCCGCACCCCGCGUCUCCUGGGGAGCCCUGGAGUGUCUGCUUGCCCUAGGGCUGACAGAGGACCUGCUUGGGUGCAGGAGCCGCCUGGAGAACCCCAGAGGAAGCACGGGGUUAGGGAGCUGGCUGUGCUGAGGGUGUGAACCCCAGGCACUUCCUGUGCUGAGCAGUUUAGGGUAGGCGGGGAGUGCAGCACACCGAGGGCGCCAGACCCGAGCUCCCAGCCCCUGGCCUGUCAAUUCCAAAGCUGGCAACCACGCUUGCUUAGCUGAACCUAUUUUCAGAUUUCUUUUGCAUGACCUGUGGUUUGGUAAUUUUAGCUUAUCGUGGAAAUGUGUUGGGUGGCUAACUGCUGAUGACUCACGCUCAUCCUAGCCGUAAUUACACCUCUCUGUAGGUAUCGUUUGUGCAGCUGAUUGUCAUCAGCCAAGGGUCCCUUUAUUGUCCAUCUGAAGCCGUCAGCCGGCUGUCGCCCCGCGCUGAGUUACUGCCCACAAGCCCUAGGUGUUCGCGAGUGGCAGCUGGCGUGGGCUCUGAGCGCAGUUUUAUCCACACCAUCUCCUUGAGGUUGGUUAGGGCUGGUUUGGCUUCCUGCUCCGGCCCGGUGAGUCACUUGCAGAUUUUCUGCUGGCGGACCCUCCUUAGCCAGCUGGGUUUGGAGCCUCGCUGCCUGCCUGCUGAUCAGCGGGGUUUCACGGAGUGAGAGCGGCGUUGGCGACUACCAGUCCCCUUUGGCUGCAGCUGAGGCUAAGAGUGUUUGGUUUCCAAGUUGUUGGGAUAAUAGAUAUUUUCCAGAUAACCUUUUUCACCCAGACUCACUUUUCUGAACAAAGUCACCAAGAAAUGUGACUUUCUCCCCCUUCGCCACUCAAAGUUCUGAAUGUUAAAAUGAGUGGGGUGUUAAACACGCAUUUCCGGUUUGGGGCCUUUUUUUCUUGGCUGGGAUACAUUUGAAGUCUUUUCUUCAUGCAGUUGGUGCUCAGUACCCCUCCAGUGCAGGAAGCUCCUAGUCAUAUGCAAGGCUUCCUGUGUCUUAGAGUUUGUCCUAUUCCUAGAGAAAACGCUAAUUACACGAAUCAUUAUUUAUGUAACACAAGUGUAGACUUCCCCUCUUCCUCAUUCUUCAUUCUUCAAAAGCAAAAGCCCUUUCGAGCUCGGGUGUGCGCAGAGGCAGGCCCGGCCUGAGCUCGCCCGGCUGCCUGUGGCAGGCAGUGCAGUGCUGCCGCACCGGGCCGCGUUAGAGGAGCCCUGGAGACUGCCGGGCGCCCUGCUCGGCUCCUGCCGCGUCUGCCCCGCGGUCUCACCCACGCAGGCCUGCUCUCUCUGGGGCUGCCGCCAUUUGUCUUUGCACCCUGCUUCUUAGAAGAAAACUGAGGCCUGGUUCUGGGUGAUCACAUAGCUCGCAUACUUGUGGGUCCUCUCGGCCCUGGCAGAGGCCUGCUGCGGGGUAGCUGUGCCUCCUUUCAUGUUCCCUUAUCUGCACCACGCUUGCCCAAGGUAAACACUUCCCCAGCAGGGGACGGUAAUUAAAAUUCUGAGCCUUCCUGGCCCCGAUCUUUAUCCACUGGAACAAUGCGGGCUGAGUGGGCACCAGUGGAGCGCACUGGGAGAGCUGGAUGCGGGGGAGUGCCAGGACGCAUGGGCUGGCGGUGGCCGAGACCCUGGUGGAGCUGGAGUUCUGGGAGCCUUGGGAGCCCUCGUGGGGGACAGGUGGGGGCACUGAUGGCCACGGGCCUUGGGAGACUCCAGGCCCCGAAGAGUGAAGGCCAUACAGGGAUCCUCCGACCCACCCUCAAGGGCGUCCGUCCGUCCUGCUGAGGCGCCCACCUCCGCACACAGCACAGACCUCGUUAUGCACAGUUCCGGCCAGAAGGAUCUCACUGCCCUGAGCGACAAGGAGGCUCUCUGCAAAGCAGCUGCUUCCCUGCCUCUUGGUCGCGGUUGUCUACCCCUGCCCCGCCAUAAAACCUAUAUCCACGGGUUUUCAUGAAACUUUGCUCAGGAAUUAACUGGAUCGGUUUAGUUUUUUAAAGGCAUUUUCAGACAGGAGGGGAGGAAACCGAUGCAGAGGGAAGCCGUGAGGGACUGGUUCCCACGCAGGGUGCCGGGGGGAUGUGGUCCCCCCAC